rnacentral:rRNA from 1 species
UAGGGAAUCUUCGGCAAUGGGGGGAACCCUGACCGAGCAACGCCGCGGGAGUGAAGAAGGUUUUCGGAUCGUAAAGCUCUGUUGUUAAGGAAGAACGAGUGUGAGAAUGGAAAGUUCAUACUGUGACGGUACUUAACCAGAAAGGGACGGCUAACUACGUGCCAGCAGCCGCGGUAAUACGUAGGUCCCGAGCGUUGUCCGGAUUUAUUGGGCGUAAAGCGAGCGCAGGCGGUUAGAUAAGUCUGAAGUUAAAGGCAGUGGCUCAACCAUUGUAGGCUUUGGAAACUGUUUAACUUGAGUGCAGAAGGGGAGAGUGGAAUUCCAUGUGUAGCGGUGAAAUGCGUAGAUAUAAGGAGGAACACCGGUGGCGAAAGCGGCUCUCUGGUCUGUAACUGACGCUGAGGCUCGAAAGCGUGGGGAGCGAACAGG